AGUGAACGCUGGCGGUAGGCCUAACACAUGCAAGUCGAACGGCAGCACAGUAAGAGCUUGCUCUUACGGGUGGCGAGUGGCGGACGGGUGAGGAAUACAUCGGAAUCUACUUUUUCGUGGGGGAUAACGUAGGGAAACUUACGCUAAUACCGCAUACGACCUACGGGUGAAAGCAGGGGAUCUUCGGACCUUGCGCGAUUGAAUGAGCCGAUGUCGGAUUAGCUAGUUGGCGGGGUAAAGGCCCACCAAGGCGACGAUCCGUAGCUGGUCUGAGAGGAUGAUCAGCCACACUGGAAGUGAGACACGGUCCAGACUCCUACGGGAGGCAGCAGUGGGGAAUAUUGGACAAUGGGCGCAAGCAUGAUCCAGCCAUACCGCGUGGGUGAAGAAGGCCUUCGGGUUGUAAAGCCCUUUUGUUGGGAAAGAAAAGCAGCAGGUUAAUACCCCGCUGUUCUGACGGUACCCAAAGAAUAAGCACCGGCUAACUUCGUG
rnacentral:rRNA from 1 species